rnacentral:rRNA from 1 species
GACGAACGCUGGCGGCGUGCUUAACACAUGCAAGUCGAACGGAAAGGCCCUGCUUUUGUGGGGUGCUCGAGUGGCGAACGGGUGAGUAACACGUGAGUAACCUGCCCUUGACUUUGGGAUAACUUCAGGAAACUGGGGCUAAUACCGGAUAGGAGCUCCUGCUGCAUGGUGGGGGUUGGAAAGUUUCGGCGGUUGGGGAUGGACUCGCGGCUUAUCAGCUUGUUGGUGGGGUAGUGGCUUACCAAGGCUUUGACGGGUAGCCGGCCUGAGAGGGUGACCGGCCACAUUGGGACUGAGAUACGGCCCAGACUCCUACGGGAGGCAGCAGUGGGGAAUAUUGCACAAUGGGCGGAAGCCUGAUGCAGCAACGCCGCGUGCGGGAUGACGGCCUUCGGGUUGUAAACCGCUUUCGCCUGUGACGAAGCGUGAGUGACGGUAAUGGGUAAAGAAGCACCGGCUAACUACGUGCCAGCAGCCGCGGUGAUACGUAGGGUGCGAGCGUUGUCCGGAUUUAUUGGGCGUAAAGGGCUCGUAGGUGGUUGAUCGCGUCGGAAGUGUAAUCUUGGGGCUUAACCCUGAGCGUGCUUUCGAUACGGGUUGACUUGAGGAAGGUAGGGGAGAAUGGAAUUCCUGGUGGAGCGGUGGAAUGCGCAGAUAUCAGGAGGAACACCAGUGGCGAAGGCGGUUCUCUGGGCCUUUCCUGACGCUGAGGAGCGAAAGCGUGGGGAGCGAACAGGCUUAGAUACCCUGGUAGUCCACGCUGUAAACGGUGGGUACUAGGUGUGGGGUCCAUUCCACGGGUUCCGUGCCGUAGCUAACGCUUUAAGUACCCCGCCUGGGAAGUACGGCCGCAAGGCUAAAACUCAAAGGAAUUGACGGGGCCCCGCACAAGCGGCGGAGCAUGCGGAUUAAUUCGAUGCAACGCGUAGAACCUUACCUGGGUUUGACAUGGAUCGGGAGUGCUCAGAGAUGGGUGUGCCUCUUUUGGGGUCGGUUCACAGGUGGUGCAUGGCUGUCGUCAGCUCGUGUCGUGAGAUGUUGGGUUAAGUCCCGCAACGAGCGCAACCCUUGUUCACUGUUGCCAGCACGUUAUGGUGGGGACUCAGUGGAGACCGCCGGGGUCAACUCGGAGGAAGGUGGGGAUGACGUCAAGUCAUCAUGCCCCUUAUGUCCAGGGCUUCACGCAUGCUACAAUGGCUGGUACAGAGAGUGGCGAGCCUGUGAGGGUGAGCGAAUCUCGGAAAGCCGGUCUCAGUUCGGAUUGGGGUCUGCAACUCGACCUCAUGAAGUCGGAGUCGCUAGUAAUCGCAGAUCAGCAACGCUGCGGUGAAUACGUUCCCGGGGCU